rnacentral:rRNA from 1 species
UACGUAGGGUGCGAGCGUUAAUCGGAAUUACUGGGCGUAAAGCGUGCGUAGGCGGUUCCUCAAGUCCGUUGUGAAAGCCCCGGGCUCAACCUGGGAAUGGCAUUUGGGACUGCAAGGCUCGAGUGCGGCAGAGGAGACUGGAAUUCCUGGUGUAGCAGUGAAAUGCGUAGAUAUCAGGAGGAACACCGAUGGCGAAGGCAGGUCUCUGGGCUGACACUGACGCUCAUGCACGAAAGCGUGGGGAGCAAACAGG